rnacentral:rRNA from 1 species
UACGUAGGGACCGAGCGUUAUCCGGAAUCAUUGGGCGUAAAGAGCGUGUAGGCGGCCACUUAAGUCCUGCGUGAAAUCUUGCGGCUCAACCGCAAGCGGUCGUGGGAAACUGGGUGGCUAGAGUGCGGGAGAGGAGAGUGGAAUUCCUGGUGUAGCGGUGGAAUGCGCAGAUAUCAGGAAGAACACCCGUGGCGAAGGCGGCUCUCUGGAACGCAACUGACGCUGAGACGCGAAAGCGUGGGGAGCAAACAGG